AUUGAACGCUGGCGGCAUGCUUUACACAUGCAAGUCGAACGGCAGCGCGGGCUUCGGCCUGGCUGCGAGUGGCGAACGGGUGAGUAAUGCAUCGGAACGUGCCCAGUAGUGGCGGAUAGCCCGGCGAAAGCCGGAUUAAUACCGCAUACGACCUGAGGGUGAAAGCGGGGGACCGAAAGGCCUCGCGCUAUUGGAGCGGCCGAUGUCGGAUUAGCUAGUUGGUGGGGUAAAGGCUUACCAAGGCGACGAUCCGUAGCUGGUCUGAGAGGACGACCAGCCACACUGGGACUGAGACACGGCCCAGACUCCUGCGGGGGGCAGCAGUGGGGAAUUUUGGACAAAGGGGGCAACCCUGAUCCAGCCAUGCCGCGUGCGGGAAGAAGGCCUUCGGGUUGUAAACCGCUUUUGUUCGGGAAGAAAUCCUCUGGGCUAAUACCCCGGGGGGAUGACGGUACCGGAAGAAUAAGCACCGGCUAACUACGUG
rnacentral:rRNA from 1 species